rnacentral:rRNA from 1 species
GAUCCUGGCUCAGAUUGAACGCUGGCGGUAUGCCUUACACAUGCAAGUCGAACGGUAGAGGGGCAACCCUUGAGAGUGGCGGACGGGUGAGUAAUACAUCGGAACGUGCCCAGUCGUGGGGGAUAACGUAGCGAAAGCUACGCUAAUACCGCAUACGACCUGAGGGUGAAAGCGGGGGAUCGCAAGACCUCGCGCGAUUGGAGCGGCCUAUCAGCUUGUUGGUGGGGUAAUGGCCUACCAAGGCUUCGACGGGUAGCCGGCCUGAGAGGGUGACCGGCCACACUGGGACUGAGACACGGCCCAGACUCCUACGGGAGGCAGCAGUGGGGAAUAUUGGACAAUGGGCGGAAGCCUGAUCCAGCAACGCCGCGUGAGGGAUGACGGCCUUCGGGUUGUAAACCUCUUUCAGUACCGACGAAGCGCCGAUGAUGGUGGUGACGGUAGGUACAGAAGAAGCACCGGCCAACUACGUG